GACGAACGCUGGCGGCGUGCCUAAUACAUGCAAGUUGAGCGCUGAAGGUUGGUACUUGUACCAACUGGAUGAGCAGCGAACGGGUGAGUAACGCGUGGGGAAUCUGCCUUUGAGCGGGGGACAACAUUUGGAAACGAAUGCUAAUACCGCAUAAAAACUUUAAACACAAGUUUUAAGUUUGAAAGAUGCAAUUGCAUCACUCAAAGAUGAUCCCGCGUUGUAUUAGCUAGUUGGUGAGGUAAAGGCUCACCAAGGCGAUGAUACAUAGCCGACCUGAGAGGGGGAUCCGCCACAAUGGGACUGGGAACACGCCCAAACUCCUACGGGAGGCAGCAGUAGGGAAUCUUCGGCCAUGGACGAAAGUCUUACCGAGCGACGCCGCGUGAGUGAAGAAGGUUUUCGGAUCGUAAAACUCUGUUGGUAGAGAAGAACGUUGGUGAGAGUGGAAAGCUCAUCAAGUGACGGUAACUACCCAGAAAGGGACGGCUAACUACGUG
rnacentral:rRNA from 1 species